UGCGAUAAAGGCAAACUCCGCGAAAGCUGGGGACGCAAAGCCACGGGUCUUAGCAUGAUUGGGUGAAGACAGCCGGGUUACCGAAA
rnacentral:ncRNA from 1 species